rfam:Papio anubis isolate 1X1155 chromosome 4, whole genome shotgun sequence.
GGGGGUGUAGCUCAGUGGUAGAGCGUGUGCUUAGCAUGCACGAGGCCCUGGGUUCAAUCCCCAGCACCUCCA